UGUAAACCUCUUUUCUCAGGGAAGAAAAAAAUGACGGUACCUGAGGAAUAAGCAUCGGCUAACUCCGUGCCAGCAGCCGCGGUAAUACGGAGGAUGCAAGCGUUAUCCGGAUUUAUUGGGCGUAAAGAGUCCGUAGGUGGUUCAGCAAGUCUGCUGUCAAAGACCGCAGCUUAACUGCGGAAAGGCGGUGGAAACUGCUGAACUAGAGUAUGGUAGGGGUAGAGGGAAUUCCCAGUGUAGCGGUGAAAUGCGUAGAUAUUGGGAAGAACACCGGUGGCGAAAGCGCUCUACUGGACCAAAACUGACACUGAGGGACGAAAGCUAAGGUAGCGAAAGGGAUUAGAUACCCCUGUAGUCUUAGCCGUAAACGAUGGAUACUAGGCGUUGCUUGUAUCGACCCGAGCAGUGCCGAAGCUAACGCGUUAAGUAUCCCGCCUGGGGAGUACGCACGCAAGUGUGAAACUCAAAGGAAUUGACGGGGGCCCGCACAAGCGGUGGAGUAUGUGGUUUAAUUCGAUGCAACGCGAAGAACCUUACCAAGACUUGACAUCCCGCGAAUCUUUCGGAGACGAGAGAGUGCCUUCGGGAACGCGGAGACAGGUGGUGCAUGGCUGUCGUCA
rnacentral:rRNA from 1 species